UUUUCCUGCUGUGUGAUAUUUAUUGUCUUACAGCCUGUAUCUGCAGUCCUGCAGCACAGAGAAAAGAAAUCCUGACCACGUUAAACUCUGACAAUUUCACUUUUGCUAUGGGAACAUGAUGGGCUAUUUUCUGUUUCCUCAGAAGCUUGUUGGAAUUUACCUUGGAAUUCAUGUGAGAGCUUCAGGCUCAAACUUAGUAAUGAAGACAAUUUCUGCCCUGAGAAACUGGAUGUUGACUUGAUCAAACUUAAUGAUGGAAAACACCUGAGACUAAUGAGCCCUGAACGAAAACUUCUGUGUCCUCCAGCUGUGGGUUCUGCCAAGUUGUGACCAAGGGUAAUCUGGAUUUCUUUGGGUCAAAGAUAAGGAUAAAUACCAAAGGACCAAGACAUGCACUGGAUGUUUGUUCUUCACCUGCUGUGUGUGCCUGUAUGUGCCUUCAGGACUCGCAGAGCUGAGGAUGGACAUGUAAUGAUGCCUUAUGAAACAAGUUUAAAGCAUUCUAGUAUGAGAUCUACCUCAUUUAAUUUUUCCUUGCAUCUCCUUUGGCUGUCCUCUGAAUUCUCUUCUCUUUGAGAUCUGUCCAUCUCUGAGUGCAGUGGGUACAACUGGACCCUGUCUCCCAGCUGAAGACUCCCUAGUGAAGACAGAGAAGAAAAAAUUACUUCCCUGACAUAGAGAUGACACUGGGGCCAAAGCCAGGCCCACUUAGGGUGCUCUGUUUGCAGCCAUGCCUUUGGCUCCUGAUAAUUCCAUGAUCACUGCCAUCCUCCCAGCACA